rnacentral:tRNA from 1 species
CAUUAAGUAGCUUAAUCUAAAGUAUAGGUCUCUUAAACCUACUGAUAAUAAAAUUUACUUAUUCUUAAUGA